rnacentral:misc_RNA from 1 species
GGUGUUUGCUACAGGACUGAAAGAA